GGACUUAUUGAUAGAAUUAACGUCAUCAUCCUCUUUCUCAAAAGAGCUUUACAAUUGUUCAUCGUCUAGAUCACUCAGGAAAUAUCACUGGAUCAAGCUUUCGCUCAUUGUCCAAUACUCAUCACUGCUGCUAGCUACACUACUUUGGUAGUGUAAUCGCUAUUGGGACCGUGUCUCAGUUCCCAUGUGGCUGGUCAUUCUCUCAAACCAGCUAAAGAUCAUCGGCUUGGUGGGCUAUUACUCCGCCAACUACCUAAUCCCCUAUAAGUAGAUUUGUUAGCGAUAAAUCUUUUGUAACUUUUCUAAAAAAAAUUACGUAUUCCGGAUUUCCCAAGAACUAACAAGCACUAUUACUUAUAUAUCCUCACCCGUUCGCCACUAUAAAAUCGUUAUCGUUCGACUCGCAUGUGUAAGUUGUAUUCCAAGCGUUCAUUCUGAGCCAGGAUCAAACUCU
rnacentral:rRNA from 1 species